rnacentral:rRNA from 1 species
AUGGCCGCAGUAUUUUGACUGUGCAAAGGUAGCAUAAUUAUUAGUUUUUUAAUUGAAAGCUUGUAUGAAGGGUUGGACGAGAUAAAAUCUGUCUUUAUUUAAAUUAAAAUAGAAUUUAACUUUUAAGUCAAAAGGCUUAAAUGUUUGUAAAAGACGAGAAGACCCUAUAGAUCUUUAUUAAAUUUAAGUUUUGAUAAUUUAAGAUUACUUUAAUUUAAAGCUUUAAUUUAAUUUUAUUGGGGUAAUAUAAAGAUUAAAUAAAUUCUUUUUACUAAUUACAUUAAUUUAUGUUUAUAUGAUCCAUUAUUAUUGAUUAUAAGAUUAAGUUACCUUAGGGAUAACAGCGUAAUUUUUUUGGAGAGCCCAUAUCGAUAAAAAAGUUUGCGACCUCGAUGUUGGAUUAAAAAUUAGCUUGGGUGUAGAAGCUCAAGAUUUUGGUCUGUUCGACUAUUAAAUUUUUACAUGAUCUGAGUUCAGACCGGCGUAAGCCAGGUCGGUUUCUAUCUUUAUUUAAAUAAAAUAUUUUAGUACGAAAGGACCAAGUAUUUAAUAUAAUUAUAUUUAUUUUUUGAAUAAUAUU